GACGAACGCUGGCGGUAUGCUUAACACAUGCAAGUCGAACGAGAAAGUUUUGAAUGAUCCUUCGAGUGAAAUUAGAACUGGAAAGUGGCGAACGGGUGAGUAACGCGUGGGUAACCUGCCCUAUGGAAAGGGAAUAGCCUCGGGAAACUGGGAGUAAAGCCUUAUAUUAUGGUUUUGUCGCAUGGCGAGAUCAUGAAAACUCCGGUAGCCAUAGGAUGGACCCGCGUCCCAUUAGCUAGUUGGUGAGAUAACAGCCCACCAAGGCGACGAUGGGUAACCGGUCUGAGAGGGCGAACGGUCACACUGGGAACUGAGACACGGGUCCAGACCCCCUACGGGAGGCAGCAGUGGGGGAAUAUUGCGCAAUGGGGGGCAAACCCUGACGCAGCAAUACCGCGUGAGUGAAGAAGGUUUUUCGGAUCGUAAAAGCUACUGUUAUU
rnacentral:rRNA from 1 species